GAUGAACGCUGGCGGCGUGCCUAAUACAUGCAAGUCGAGCGAAUGGAUUAAGAGCUUGCUCUUAUGAAGUUAGCGGCGGACGGGUGAGUAACACGUGGGUAACCUGCCCAUAAGACUGGGAUAACUCCGGGAAACCGGGGCUAAUACCGGAUAACAUUUUGAACCGCAUGGUUCGAAAUUGAAAGGCGGCUUCGGCUGUCACUUAUGGAUGGACCCGCGUCGCAUUAGCUAGUUGGUGAGGUAACGGCUCACCAAGGCAACGAUGCGUAGCCGACCUGAGAGGGUGAUCGGCCACACUGGGACUGAGACACGGCCCAGACUACUACGGGAGGCAGCAGUAGGGAAUCGUCCGCAAUGGACGAAAGUCUGACGGAUCAACGCCGCGUGAGUGAUGAAGGCUUUCGGGUCGUAAAACUCUGUUGUUAGGGAAGAACAAGUGCUAGUUGAAUAAGCUGGCACCUUGACGGUACCUAACCAGAAAGCCACGGCUAACUACGUGCCAGCCGCCGCGGUAA
rnacentral:rRNA from 1 species